CCGAGUUAGGGUCUCCUCCGUGAGGCCCGACCUCCCAACCCUGUGUCUAAUAAACCUGUAUGUGUUGCUUCGGCGGAACGGCAGUCGCUUCCCUCCCGGGGGAGGAUACCGCCGCCGGGGGAUCAACGGUCUCACGACCGCCCCCUGGAGAGCGUCCGCCGAUGGCCCCAACCAAACAACUCCCAAACCAAAACAAUUGUAACCCAAAACUUCUGAAUCAGACCUUUUGAUAUACCAAUCAAAAACA
rnacentral:misc_RNA from 1 species